CAGUCGCCGCGGUAAUACGUAGGUCCCGAGCGUUGUCCGGAUUUAUUGGGCGUAAAGCGAGCGCAGGCGGUUUGAUAAGUCUGAAGUUAAAGGCUGUGGCUCAACCAUAGUUCGCUUUGGAAACUGUCAAACUUGAAUGCAGAAGGGGAGAGUGGAAUUCCAUGUGUAGCGGUGAAAUGCGUAGAUAUAUGGAGGAACACCGGUGGCGAAAGCGGCUCUCUGGUCUGUAACUGACGCUGAGGCUCGAAAGCGUGGGGAGCGAACAGGAUUAGAUACCCCCGUAGUCCCUGUCUCUUAUACC
rnacentral:rRNA from 1 species